rnacentral:rRNA from 1 species
GACGAACGCUGGCGGCGUGCUUAACACAUGCAAGUCGAGCGAGAAAGCUCCUUCGGGAGUGAGUACAGCGGCGAACGGGUGAGUAACACGUGGGCAACCUGCCCUAGGGAGCGGGACAACCCGAGGAAACUCGGGCUAAUACCGCAUGAUUCGUCAUGUCUCAAGGCAUGACGGGAAAUGGUAGCUUCGGCCUCCGCCCUAGGAUGGGCCCGCGGCGCAUUAGCUUGNGGUGUGGGUAACGGCUCACCAAGGCGACGAUGCGUAGCUGGUCUGAGAGGACGAUCAGCCACACUGGGACUGAGACACGGCCCAGACUCCUACGGGAGGCAGCAGUGGGAAUCUUGCGCAAUGGGCGGAAGCCUGACGCAGC